GUGCUUACUUUGGCAGCACAUAUACUAAAAUUGGAAUGACAGAGGAUGACAUGCAAAUUUGUGAAGUGUUCCAUAUUAAA
rnacentral:snRNA from 1 species